rnacentral:rRNA from 1 species
ACGUAGGUGGCAAGCGUUGUCCGGAUUUACUGGGCGUAAAGGGAGCGUAGGUGGAUAUUUAAGUGGGAUGUGAAAUACUCGGGCUUAACCUGGGUGCUGCAUUCCAAACUGGAUAUCUAGAGUGCAGGAGAGGAAAGUAGAAUUCCUAGUGUAGCGGUGAAAUGCGUAGAGAUUAGGAAGAAUACCAGUGGCGAAGGCGACUUUCUGGACUGUAACUGACACUGAGGCUCGAAAGCGUGGGGAGCAAACAG